rnacentral:rRNA from 1 species
AGUGGCGGACGGGUGAGUAACGCAUAGGAAUCUGCCCAUGUAGUGGGGGACAACCUGGGGAAACUCAGGCUAAUACCGCAUACGCCCUACGGGGGAAAGCGGAGGAUCUUCGGACUUCGCGCUAUUGGAUGAGCCUAUGUCAGAUUAGCUUGUUGGUGGGGUAAAGGCCUACCAAGGCGACGAUCUGUAGCUGGUCUGAGAGGACGAUCAGCCACACUGGGACUGAGACACGGCCCAGACUCCUACGGGAGGCAGCAGUGGGGAAUAUUGCACAAUGGGCGCAAGCCUGAUGCAGCAAUGCCGCGUGUGUGAAGAAGGCCCGAGGGUUGUAAAGCACUUUCAGUAGGGAAGAAACCGUAACGGAAUAAUACCCGUUACCUUGACGUUACCUACAGAAGAAGCACCGGCUAACUCUGUGCCAGCAGCCGCGGUAAUACAGAGGGUGCUAGCGUUAAUCGGAAUUACUGGGCGUAAAGCGCGCGUAGGCGG